CACGUAGGGCGCAAGCGUUGUCCGGAAUUAUUGGGCGUAAAGAGCUCGUAGGCGGUCUGUUACGUCUGCUGUGAAAACCCGGGGCUUAACCCUGGGCUUGCAGUGGAUACGGGCAGACUAGAGGCAGGUAGGGGAGAAUGGAAUUCCCGGUGUAGCGGUGAAAUGCGCAGAUAUCGGAAGGAAGACCAGUGGCGAAGGCGGGUCUCUGGACAGUUCCUGACGCUGAGGCACGAAGGUCAGGGGAGCAAACGGG
rnacentral:rRNA from 1 species